ACGUUCUUCCGUUUUAUCAACCAAUUCUCUCUCAAUGAUGAUUCACCUCACAAACCCUACCCAAGUUAUCGCUCAGACAAAAUUAAGAUACUACAACUACUACCCUAAAACACAUUUUGUAUUAGAGUUUCUUUCACACACUAAUUAGACACGCCACUCUCUCACUUUCUUCCAUUCUAUCAAUCAUUUUUCUCUCAAUGAUGAUUCACCUCAGGAUCCCUACCCAAGUCAUCACUCUUUCACCUUUAACCACCUCCAUCAAUCCACCUAUUACCAUAUCCACAUCCCUUUUUACUCCCAUAAUUUAUCUCUUCCAAUUAUCCUGACGAUACAUGGUCUUCGUUCACUUUUGUUCUUCUUAUUUUAAAAAUGACAAUGGAGUUGAAUUCCUCGUGUCAUUUUUCUAUGCCUCAGUAGGAAUCUUCCCAUCAAACUUCAUUUGCUGAGACACUCUUAUAAUCAUGUUCUAAACAAUAAAACUCCUUUUGAGUCUCUAUCCAAAUACCCUCCCACAUUUCGUAAUCUUAAUUUUUUAGAUAUAUUUGCUUGCCUAUACCUAAUGUCUAACAGGACCAUAUUAGAUCCUAGGGAAAUGUAUAUGUCCUUUAUUACUUACAUAUUAGAAACACUUUUAUCUCUAAAAACAUCACAUUCUAUAACAUUUGAAUAUUUAACCUUCAUGGAUGUCCUUAGUCAAGACAAGCCUGAUACAAUUGUUAUUAUAUAUGAUAAUUGUCCAAAUCUCAUUUUGAUUUUAUGCCACCCUUAAACAAUUCCAUGGAAUCUACCACUUACAAAGAAGCAAUUAAAUUCCAACAAUGGAUUGAGGUCAUGAACAUGAGAUAUAACUGAAUUAUCAUCCAAUAAAAAGUCUAUUGGAUGCAAAUGGCAUUUUAAAAUCAAACAUGAUAGUGAUGGUUCCAUAAAAAGAUUAUUUGGAAAGUAGCUAAAUUAACCAAUUAGUCAUUCACCAACUAUAUGUUCAUAAUGCAUUUCUUUAUGACACUAUAAUUAUUUUCAACAAUCAUGUAUGAAUACACUUAAAAUUAUUUUCAAUCAAAAUCUGAAUACACUUAAAAUUAUUUUCAAUCAAAAUCUGAUUAUUCUCUGUCUAUAAAUGACAGUCAAGAAAGUAUGUCCCUUAAGCAAUUCCUAAUUAACUCCUUAUUCAAGAUCAAAGAUUUAGAACACCUAAAAUAUUUCUUAGGACUAGAAGUGACAAGAUCUCACACAGGAUUUACGACGCGAUUGUCGGAUCUAGUUAGGUAAAAUUAUAUUACUUCGUUAUAUACUGUAAUUGUUGGAAAUGUUGAAACUAUUUGAUUCAUAUUGUAGCUUGAAACACUAUGAUUUGAGGGCUUAAUAUCAAUUAUGAGAGAUUUUUGUAUGAUUAACAAUAGAGAGAUAGUUUGUAAGCCUACAUAUAGUGAACGGUUUUAGUAUGCUUUUAAUUAUGAUUCGUAGUAAUUUUAUUGCUUUUGCCGUUGAAAAUUUUAUGUAAAAUUUUAAGUCAAUUCUUGUUUUAAAUACACUUUUGCUUUUUAUGAAUAAACAUAAUUGUGAUAAUCAUGUGUUAUCAUUAAUAAAUUUUACAAAUGCCAAGGUGUAAUAAACUUAUCACUUUGCAAUGCAUUGUAAACAUUAAGAUGCAGCUAGUGCUUUGAUACAUGUACAAGAGAUUAAGUUAGGGUCUUACACAGAAAAUCCAAACAUAUUAUGCAUACUUUUUUUCUUAGUGACUUGUUUAUUUGCUUCUUAUACAUAAAGAAAUAGGAUUUCCAUCUAAUGGAAUUGGAGUUGUUAAAUGACUUAUUUAUUUAGUUGGAGCAAUCAAUAGCUUAUUUUGUGAUUUUGUAGAAAUGUUGACAAUUGACUCAUGAGUUAUUGCAUCCAUCAUGAUAUUGGAAUUCAUGACAUUCAUCACUUAUUCACUCAAAUUAUGUAUUACCACUUAAUAGAAGUUGUGAGUAUAUCUUCACACCAAACUCUUCUGACAUUGGUUACAAGAGAAUGGUGAAUAGUAUUGUGUAAAAAACUAUUUUAAAAAUACAAGGGAUUUGACAUCGCUUAAAUAUACAACCGAUGUAAGAAGUGGUCUUGCAACUCCCUAUCCCCUCAGUUAUCGGUCACAACUGAGGGGGAAACCAAAGGAUUUUACCUCGGUUCACUGUCCACCCUAUGUGAAAAGUGACACGCUUUCAAAGUUUUCACCUCUAUUCAGAGUUCAUCUGAUGUAAAAUCUAGCACACUUUCAAGUUUUAUAUAUCGACAUCUGGCUCGAGGGGAAAAUAACAUACUUUCUAUAACACACUACGUUUUCUCACGCAUCUAACAGAGGUAAAAGUCAUUUUUCAACCAAGGUAAAAGCCUUUUUUAAUGGUAAUGAUAAGAUGUUUUUAGACUGUUCUAUGUCUUGCAAUAUCCAUAAUGUUCGGGGGUCUGUUAUAAUAAAUUUUGGAAUGUUUAUGGCCAUGGAAUUUGAAAGGAUUUCUAAUCUUAUCAAUGGAUAUAUAGUAACUGGUAGAUUGGUCCCAUAUAUUGUUGACUAUCUCAGUUAUAAACAAGACUUUGAAGAUCUCCAAACAUUAUAAAGAUGUACGAGAUUCGGUCUAGUGGUGUGUUUUCACAUUAAAUCAAUUAAGAAAGGUCAUGAUACAUAUCGGUUGUUAAUAAAUUAAAAAUCAAUUUAUACUUCCAAAUCCCACAAGGACUGCUCUCAAGGAUAAACUCAAUUCAUGUAUAGACCAAUUCAUCAAGAAACGAGACAAAAACAUUUUCCAACCUUUUUAUGAACCUAUAUAUGAAGUCAUAAACCAAUUCUUGAAGAUGUUAUUCUAGGUUCAUUAGGUCGAUUGACUUAAAUUUAGACAAAUGCCAAUAUAAUACAUGAUUUGGUAAGGUUCAUUUGGUCUUUGUUGGAUUGAUAUCCUUGUAUUUGAUGGUGAUAGUUAAACCAUAUUAGAAAAUACCUUUCUGGACUGUGGAUGCAUAUGCAAUGCGAGUAUUCCCUACACUAUUUUUGACUUUAGGCAACGGAAGAAUAGUCAAUGGCUUAAAACCCAUAGCUUAAAGUGGUAAUAGGCUGCGCUUUUUACUCGUUUUCAAGUUUCGAGAAUUAUGUUAGAAUUUUGUUGUGUUUUUACUUUAAGCUACGAUUUUGAAAGUGUGGUAAUAACAAAAUUGUUGCCAAUUGCUUUUAAACUACGUUUCUGAAGUGUGGCUGUAUAGAAACCGUCCCAAAGCUACGAUUUUGAAAGUGUGGUAAUAACAAAAUUGUUGCCAAUUGCUUUUAAACUACGUUUCUGAAGUGUGGCUGUAUAGAAACCGUCCCUUAUUCAAUUUAGACUACGGUUUUAGAGUGUGGGCAUAAGAACAUAUCUUGGAAAUCCAUCUUGGAAAAUAUAUUUCUACACUGUGGAUGUAUAUGCAAUGCGAGUAUUCCCUACACUAUUUUUGACUUUAGACAACGGAAGAAUAGUCAACGGCUUAAAAACCCUAGCUUAAAGUAGUAAUAGGUUGCGCUUUUUCUUGUUGUCAAGUUUUAUGUUAGAAUUUUGUUUUGUGUUUACUUUAGGCUACGGUUCUAAAAGUGUGGUGAUAACAAAAUUGUCGCCUAUUCCUUUUAUACUACGUUUCUGAAAUGUGGCUGUAUAGAAACCGUCCCUUAUUCAAUUUAGACUAGUGUGGGUGUAAGAAAAUAUCUUGGAAAAAAUAUUUUUAGAUUGUGGAUGCAUAUGCAAUGCGAGUAUUCCUACACUAUCUUUUACUUUAGGUAACGGAAGAAUAGUCAACGACUUAAAAACCGUAGCGUAAAGUGGUAAUAGACUGCGCUUUUUACUCGUUGUCAAGUUUGUAGAAUUAUGUUAGAAUUUUGUUUUGUGUUUACUUUAAGCUAAGUUCUGAAAGUGUGGUAAUAAUAAAAUCGUCGCCUAUUCCUUUUAAAGUAUGUUUCUGCAGUGUAGCUGUAUAGAAAUCAUCCCUUAUUCAACUUAGACUACGAUUUUAAAGUGUGUUUAUGAAAAUAUCCCUUAUUAAAGUACUGAAUCCAUGUUAGUAUAGACAAAAUAUUCAUAUAUACACUCUAGCUACAACUAAGCUAUAUGAUAUCGUGAUAAUUUGUCUUCCUUAAACUAAUUUAUAUAUAAUAUUUAAAAUUAUAUACAUAUAAUAUAAAUAAUUUUAUAAAAACAAAUUUAUUAAUAUACACCACACUAUUUAAAAUACAUGGUCUUGAAGAGAUAGAUUUUGAAUUUGAUGAUUUAUCAUCUUACUCUAAAUAAACAGAAUUAUAAAAAAACAAAAUUUGUUAUAAAUACAUGAUGGCAACUCCAAAAUAAAAAUUAUUUUUUUAUAGCUAUUAUUAAAAUAGUUAAAUAAAUUUAUUGUAAAAUUAAUAAAAUUUGUUAAUCUCUAUAAUAUCUUUUUAUAUGAUAAAAAAAAUUAUACAAAAAGAGAAACCAUAGAUUUUGUGNAACCGUCCCUUAUUCAAUUUAGACUACGGUUUUAGAGUGUGGGCGUAAGAACAUAUCUUGGAAAUCCAUCUUGGAAAAUAUAUUUCUACACUGUGGAUGUAUAUGCAAUGCGAGUAUUCCCUACACUAUUUUUGACUUUAGACAGCGAAAGAAUAGUCAACGACUUAAAAACCCUAGCUUAAAGUAGUAAUAAGUUGCGCUUUUUCUUGUUAUCAAGUGUUAUGUUAGAAUUUUGUUUUGUGUGUACUUUAGGCUACAGUUCUAAAAGUGUGGUGAUAACAAAAUUUAGACUACGGUUUCAGAGUGUGGGUGUAAGAAAAUAUCUUGGAAAAUAUAUUUUUAGAUUGUGGAUGCAUAUGCAAUGCGAGUAUUGCUACACUAUCUUUUACUUUAGGUAACGGAAGAAUAGUCAACGGAUUAAAAACCGUAGCGUAAAGUGGUAAUAGACUGCGCUUUUUACUCGUUGUCAAGUUUGUAGAAUUAUGUUAGAAUUUUGUUUUAUGUUUACUUUAAGCUAAGUUCUGAAAGUGUGGUAAUAAUAAAAUCGUCACCUAUUCCUUUUAAAGUAUGUUUCUGCAGUGUAGCUGUAUAGAAAUCAUCCCUUAUUCAACUUAGACUACGGUUUCAUCCCUUAUUCAACUUAGACUACGGUUUCAAAGUGUGUUUAUGAAAAUAUCCCUUAUUAAAGUACUGAAUCCAUGUUAAUAUAGACAAAAUAUUCAUAUAUACACUCUAGCUACAACUAAACUAUAUGAUAUCGUGAUAAUUUGUCUUCCUUAAACUAAUUUAUAUAUAAUAUUUAAAAUUAUAUACAUAUAAUAUAAAUAAUUUUAUAAAAACAAAUUUAUUAAUAUACACCACACUAUUUAAAAUAACAUGGCUUGAAAGAAGAAUAGAAUUGGAAUUGACAAUAAUUAACAUUCUACUACCACUAAAAAACAAAUUAUAACAAAAAACAACAAAUCCCUGUUAACAUACAUGAAAUGGCAAACUCCAAAAUAAAGACUUAAAUUUUUUUCAUACGCUAUAUAAUUAAAAUAGUACAUAAAUUCUAUUGCGUACCCAACACAUUAAAAUAAAUCAUUUGGUUAACCCUAAUAACUCCUUUAAUAAUCGAUAAAGAACAAAACUUUUAUUACACAAAAAAAGAAACCCAUAGACUGCUGUGUAACACUAGAAAAUUGAACGAUUCCAUCCUCAAUAACCUCUGAUAGCAAAUUGAAAAUGAAUUUUUGUGAAAACAAAUAUUUUUUACAACUAUUAAUGACAUAAUCUGAUUUAAAUGUCCAAAUAAAUAUUCUAAUUUUUAUCUAUUAAUUAAGUUCAUUUUUGUUUAGAACAAUAUCUUUGUUAUAAGAUGUUAUUUUUUGUUUAAAAAUGAAAUUCUAUUUCCUAAACAUUUUCUUUGGCGUUCUUAAUUUAUAAACAAAGUAAAUGUUUUUUUUUUAUUAUAAUUUCUUGGCAAUUUGAGUUUUUGGGUGUGUCUGUCUGAAAGUUUAGGGUUUGCAUGGUGAGGUGAUGCAUAUGUUAUAAGUGGAUGUAACUUUUUCUUGGAUUGUGACGUUUUUAGUAUAAUGCUGGUUUGUGGCUCCGACGUUCCCCAAACUCACACACCUUCCCCAAAGGGUGAAUCGUUAUUCCCCCCCCCUUUCCAUUUCCCAACGCCCAAAUCCUGACAAACAUAAUUGGUUUUCUAUUUUUGAAUUUUUUAUCCAAUGUAGUUUUUUUGAAUUAUGAUUGGCAAGAAUCAAUCAAAUAACUGUUCCUACAUUUGAUUGUUUACUCCCCACACUCUAAUUUUGAACCCCACCUAAUUAAAGCCUUUUCUUUCGCAGCUUUCUUUGUAUUAUACAUUAAAAUUAUUAUUCUUGACCCUUUUAAUUAAUCUCGACAAUACUCGAAGAAUUCUAUUAUUGUGUUGGUUUGUGCGACAGUCUUUUUAGAUAUUUUAAUAAAGUAUAUUCUACUUCUUCUCAUUAUGAGAAUAAACUGUCCCCUCCAUUUUUUUUUGAAUACUCCUUUUUUUAGACUGAUAUAACGCUGCGCUGUUCGAGAACUCUUCCUAAAACGACACUGCAAGAAUUCCCAAAGCAUGAUGAUCCAAUUCGUUAGAGAGAAUUUUCGAAACCCGUGGAUCAUAGAAUGGGGAAAAUCAUCCAAACAAGGGAGGACAAUAUAGCAGGCCCAUCUUAUCCUCCUCCUAUUUACGUCCGCGAUGUCAACUUAAACUAAUAUUCCAAUUAGAAAAAUUCUUCCUAAAAUUUUCUUUUUUGAAAUAAAUGCAAUUUGAUAACAAAUCCGGCGGAAAAAUCUUAAUUCUUCUUUCUAGAUUGUUGUCACAUGAAUGCUGGUUUUCACUUGACACACCUUGUUGUUAUGUUUAGCCUACAGAAUUAAAUGGUAAAAAUGGUUUUUAAUAAUUCACCCUCACGUCUUCCUAUUGCCCAGUUAAUUGCGAUUUGUUGUCCGGAAAACCGCAGAUUCUGAAUCGUACUCAAAAAGUCAAAUAGGAUAUACUAUAGUACUAUAUAUAUAUAUAAGUAAUAAUAAGAUAAUAAUAGUAACUAUAGAUAAUAAGUAUUAUAAUAAAAAAUAAUAUACAAAUAUGGUGUGUGUGUGGUGAGGGUGUUGCCAAAAGACUUGUAGGCAACUUAACUUAUUUUUUUAAUGUUUCCUUAGAGUCAAACGUUUUAUUGUAAUGCUUAAUCUUAAAGAUCGGUUCCGGGAUUUUUCUCCAAUCGAUUCUUACGGGGCGAUUAUAAGAUAUUUUUUAAAAAUGAAAUGACAUAAGAUGAGCCCCUACGGUAUUUUUAAUUGUGGUGCUAGUCAAUAAUUGGUGCUUUUCCAUCGUAUUUGGGGAACGUUUGUUUGAUGUGAUUACUAAAGAAAGCUUUUUGAAACCUAAAACUAAAAACUAAAAUACGGAUGGAAAACUUAUUUUUUGGAUAGUUAAGCGCGAACGGGGGUUCAUAUUAAUCCCGUGGGUUCAAAACUAAACAAAAACCCGCGCUCUAAACAGGAUAAUAGGCCUAAUGGGGCCCGCCGUUUCUCACCACGCUUGACUUUUCGUGCCCCCUUAAAGAACUCAGACCCACAACCCUACAGUUUCCCUAACGCUUAGAGGAGACGGUAUUUUCACAGUUGGUUGCCUUAAACCCAUUUGUGUAUCUAGAGUGAUACACCGUGUUGAAUGGCAAUUUCCCCGUGACUUACCGCCCAUAGGCCCCCUCUAAUGCGACAACAGUAUACCAACUCCAAAGUCGAUCGGUUAGCCCAAGUAGUGUCCCCCUUAACUUACCUAAGCGUUGCAUGGAUCUUAGCCACUCCCCAAAAAAAACUACCAAACACUGGGGAACUAUCCCGUGUCUAGACCGAUCCUAUUGAGUCGACCAGCCGCCAAACUAUUUCCCACAAACUAAGAAAACGACUCCUAUAACUACUCCACCAAGGAGAGUUCAAAUUUACAUAAAGAAAACCAAGCUAAAAGGAACGUGCGGUAAAAAAACAUUGUAAGUGUUUGAUCCCCCCCCCAGAAAAAUAGUACAUAUUCCUAAGCUCCAUAGAUCAUGCGGCUAUCAUAGAAAAUAAAUUUCAAUGUAGUCAUUGUACAGCGGAGAAACAAUCGUAACAUGAUGACAUGUUAUCGUCUAAUAGGGCGAUACAUCAAAUGCUCUCACACUUCCGAUUGUAACGUCUAAAAUGUCUUUUGUUCGACUUCGCUGUGAAAGUAUUUUUACUCCAAUAAUCCCCUAUCCUCAUGCGAACACUUUUUUAUCGAAUCAACCUUGACUCUAUAAUGUUUCAUCUUUUUUAACUUUGUGCCUCUACAUGUACACAACAGUUAAGGGGGGUCCAAAUAAAAAGCCCAACUUUGACCUAACCUCUAUAUGAUUUGGACUUUCCCCUGAGUAUUUAAUCAAUUAAGAAAACUUCACUCCAAAAGCGUGAAAAAGGUAGUAAAUUGGGAAUCUGUGUUAAGUACUAUACUCCCCAACUUGCGAUAUUCAAAAAAGAUUAUCCCACUAACUUAAAAAAAAAUAGCCCUCCUUAUCUUGAACUUUAAUAAAAUGUUUAAGUUGGAAAAAUAUGUUUUAAAUAAAUAAAUAAGGUAGCGGUAAUUUGUUCCAUAACAAAAACUAAGAAUGGUGGGGGGAGACUUGAAUGCGGGGUCCCAGUUAGUCCCCCUCGGAUAAUUUAACCGGUUGUGCCCCGAUGGAAACCCCAAGGUUAAAUACUCCAAUAACCCCAUUCACCUUUUAAGAGUCAACAAAACAAUUAAGUUAAGAUCUAUCGAUAAACAAUGAACAAAAUAGUACUUAAAAUAUCUCUCGUGCAUAUUAUAAAUACUGUUAAUAAAUCGAUUAAAUGCUCCCCGUAAUGGCAAUUUAGAACGUCCAUAAAACGAAAGUUAAUCUAUUUGAUUCUUCAAAUAGAAAUUAAAGUGAAGGGCGGAAAAGAAAGCCAGACAAAUUUCAAUUCUCAAAAUGAUUCAAUGUUUAGAAUUUCUUUUACCCAAAAAAAAGAAAAAAGGUUCUAAUAAUUAAUUCAAAUUGAUAUUUGAAAAUCACUUGUAAAACCUUGUUAUAUUUAUUAGAAAUUAAACCGGANUGACCCGUGUGAGCCAUUUAACCGAUGAAAAUUUAUUUCAAAAUUUAAAGAAACGCUGUAUUUUUUCAAUAAGUAUAUUUCGUACUGAUCAUUUUCAUGCAUCCGAUUUAAUUUUUUGAGCAAAUUUUCGCCCGACUUUUAUUAAUUUUUAGUCGUUUUAAUUUUGUUCUUUCGUCAAAAUAGUCAGAUUAAAUAAAUAGAAUUUUCCAUGUUAUUAUUUUAAUUUUAUCAUGAUUGUCUAAAAAGUUGUGAAUUUUAUUUUAUUCAAUUGAUUUAAAUUGUUUUAAAUAGAUUAUAUCAUCUAAAAAAGGCAUUAUAUGCAUUUUGAUUUAUUUAAAUAGUGUGUGUUUCUUGGUGUGUUUCUUUGAUUCAAUCCAAGCCAUCGGUUCAAAUUAAUCAGUGGCCAUUAUUAGCAAUCCAUAUUUAUCCCAUUUAUCCAAUCAAAAAUUAGGAUUUAAUUAAUACUAUUAUUUAAGAAAAUUUGAAAAUAAGUGAAAAAAUUCUCUCUCUCUCAGGUACAUAGCUUCCAACCGUAAGAUGGAAAAGAAAUAAUUAAGAGGACACUACCUCUCUAACCCACUACCACUCACUCACUUUCAGUAAGAAAAAACUAAAAAGACAAAAAUAAAAAAGAGAAAGAAACCCAUCCUCUUUUCCUCACGUAGCAACCUCCAUUUUCGCCAACAACCGUGAUUUCCAAGCGACAUCCCACAUCACCUUCGCCACCGCCCUUCCAAACACAACACCGGACCACCCCUUCGUCUCUCCAACCGCAGAUCCCUCCACCAACAAUCCGCUGUUAACCGUCACGCUCCCUCCGGCGACGCCCCUUCCGACCCUUAACCGUGUAAACCUUGCUUCACACACUCAAACCAUAAAAUCCACCAUGAACAACCUAGAUCUGCGUCAAAAUGGUGUUGGCGACCAUAACGCGUCCUUACUCAUGUUUGAAAAGAUCCGGAUCAAGCACGUUAAAGAAGUCGCGGUUGAAGUUUCAUAUGUGUGUGAGUUCUUUGCGUUUCCUUAUACCUGCAUUUCUGCAUUUUAAUGAUAAUGCUAUUUUUUCUUUUCACUGCAAUUUAUGUUAUUAUACAGCAUACAAUAUGUUUUAAAUUAUUAUUAUAACGUUAUAUUAGUUUUAGUUAUAAUAGUUUAAGUUUAACUUAUUGUUAUAUUAUAUUAAAAUUUUAGUUUAACUUAUUAUUAUAUUAUAUUAGUAUAACUUGGCCACAAAUACUGAUUGGUGUUAAUAUGUAGAAAAGUUUAAAUAUGUGUAUAAUUUAAUGAGAUUUGUGGAAAUAUAAUGAUACUUUGUGUUAGAUAGGGACUUGAUUUUGAUGCACGUUUUAAGUGAUAUACCACAAAUACUGUACUAGACUAGUGAAGAAGAAUAAAAUUCAUUUCUAUUUGUCUUAGUUUCUUUGUCUGUUUGUGUGAUUAUAAAGUCACAUGCCCACAUAGUCCAACUUAUUAAAGUGGAUGAUAUAAUAUAUUGAUUUCAAUUGAUUAUUAUUGUAAAUUUUGCUAGUUAUAAGUCUUAUAAAAAUUGUGAAAACAUUGUAAAUAAUUGUAAGUUGUUGUUUUUAAAUUAAUUACAUUUUUUAAUUGGAUUUUUUAAAUCCGCGGAUCCGGCAAUUUCAUGUCGGUAUAUCGCCAAAUUUCAAUAAAUUAAUAGAAUAUUUCAUCGUGUUUCAAUCUUUACAUACGACAGUUCAACUCUGUUGUCGCUAUGUAUAAACCGGUUUAUGAGCACAUGGCGACCGAUUCAAUUCGAUUAGCUAAGUAUUCAAUGUUGUCACUUGUCUCUUUUUUUAAAAAUCAAUUAAUUAAUUAAAGUCUUGAUUAAUUAGAUAAUUUUGUUAACUAAUUUUAACUAACUUAAUUAUUUCAUUAUAUUAAUUUUUAAUCGAAUAGUUUUGAUAAUUAAUUUUAAUUAUCUCAAUUAGAUGGCUUAAUUGAAUUUUAAUUAAUUAAUUUUAUUAAUCAAAAGUUGACCGACUUAUUUCACAAUCAUUUUUCAUUAUCAUUUCAUAAUACAAAUUCAAUUCCAAACCACUUUUAAACCACUAAAGUCACACAACUCUCGAUUCAAUCGAGCCUCUUUUUCCAUACCUUUGUAAGUCGAUUGCUUUUAGCAUCGCCAUCAACCUCACAUAGCUUACUCUUGGGCUUUCUUACAAUGAGACCUAUUCGAUUUUAAUUUAUCGAGUAGAUGAUUGAUUCACCAAAAUAAUCCAACUUAUCCAAAAACACACAUUCAAAUCUCGAUCCAACAUCGGGUAUUUUUCAUUCAAAAUCAAUUAAAAUACUUAAUCCCAAACAAAUACCGAUUCAUUUGGAAAUGAAAAGGGGGAUGGUUUUGAGUUUUCAACUCCUCUCCUCGAUUAUUUGAAUAUGAGUUCUCUUACUCGGUUAGUCAAAUAAUUGUCAUUGCUAAAUCACCUAAACAUAAUUAAGUCAAUUUAUUCUCAUAAUGACGAAAUGAAAAAGGAGAUGGUUUUAAGCCUUUAACUCCUCUCCUUGAUUGUCUGAAUACGAGUUUUCUUACUCGGUCAGUUAGACACUCGUCAUUUCUUUACAAACCUCUAACUAGAUUAAAUCAAACUAUUUCACAAUAACGAAAUGAAAAGGGGGAUGGUUUUGAGCCUUCAACUCCUCUCCCCAAUUGUUUGAAUACGAGUUCUCUUACUUGGUUAGUCAAACAAUUUUCAUUCUUCCACCAAAUUAAUAAAUUAAUCAAAACAUUUUCAUAAUGAACUGUACGAAAAGGGAGACGGUCUUGAGCCUUCGAUUCCUCUCCUCAAAUGCUUUGAUAUGAGUUAUCUUACUCAGCCGUUCAAGUACUUGUUGUUUAUUCUAAAAUACAUCAACUAUACAUAAACCUAUUUUCAUAAUCAAUUAAAGAUGAAAAAGAAAGUGGUCUAGAGUCUUCUAUUCUCUUUCCUAAUUAUUAGGAUACGAGUUGUCUUACUCGACCGUCCGAGUAAUCGUCAUCCAUUCAAAAUACCUUAACUGUUAUCAACUCCUUUCAUAAUAAAGGAUGAAAAGGGAGAUGGUCUAGUGCCUUCGAUUCCUCUCCUCGACUAUUAGGAUACGAGUUGUCUUACUUGAAUAUCCAAGUAAUCGUCAUCAUACAAAAUGUCUCAGCACAUCAAAUAUAUAUAUCUUUCUCGCCCACGUGCGAUCAAAACCAAUCAAACAAAACGUCAAACAUAUUAAUCCAACUUGUCACCCCCGUGUGAUCAAAACCCUUCUUUCAAAAAGAACACUGUUAAUCCUUUCUGAUGCGCACAACAAACUAGUGCUUAAACCUCCACCGAGAAUAGACAAGCCAGCGUUUAGCCUUUGAAAUGCGAACUACGCAGUUGUUCAUAAAAAACACCAACCAAUCGUAGUUCCCCGAACUACGAAUGCUCUGAUUUCCUUAUUACACCAUAAGGAUACGUAGGCAGGAGAUUGCUGUAUCUUCGCGAGCACACUAAUAAAAAACCUCCCCUUUCCCCUUCUGAGGUUCUCAUCCAUUUCCAUUUUUAAUAAUUUUAUAAACCAAAAAUAACAAACAAACAUAAAUUAACACUCGAAACUCACAUUAGAACUAAAAGGUUUCCGUUGAGUACAACGGACGUAAGGGGUGCUAAUACCUUCCCCUUCGUAAUCCACUCCCGAACCCGAAUAUGGUUGCGACGACCAUUAUUCCAUUUCCUAAAGGUUUUAUCGAUAUUUUCCUAUUCCUUCAUUGGGAUAAAUAAAGUUCGGUGGCGACUCUGUUCGAACAUAAUUUUUUCCGCGACCAUCGCGAGGAAUCAUAUUUUUCGAGAUGCGACAGAUGGCGACUCUGCUGGGGAAUAGCUCCAAGCAAAAGAGAGUGAAGCCUAAUUUAGUUCAGUUUUUGUAUUUGUGUCUUAAUCUUGUUUGUUUGUUUGUUAUUUUUAUUCUGUUACUAUUCUAUUGUAAUUAUUGUGUGGUGUUUUAUUGGUUAUGUAUUAUUGGGGUUCUCUGGUCGGUGAUACUUUGUGAGAUAGGCUCUCCACCUGAGUCUGAGAAAAACCAUAAGAUUAAGUUGGUGGUUGCGUAGUGGGCGCCCACAAGGAGUCUUCCUUGUUGGGAAGAUACGAAGACCCCNUGUUCUAUGUCUUGCAAUAUCCAUAAUGUUCGGGGGUCAGUUAUAAUAAAUUUUGGAAUGUCCAUAAUGGCCAUGGAAUUUGAAAGGAUUUCUAAUCUUAUCAAUGGAUAUAUAGUAACUGGUAGAUUGGUCCCAUAUAUUGUUGACUAUCUCAGUUAUAAACAAGACUUUGAAGAUCUCCAAACAUUAUAAAGAUGUACGAGAUUCGAUCUAGUGGUGUGUUUUCACAUUAAAUCAAUUAAGAAAGGUCAUGAUACAUAUCGGUUGUUAAUAAAUUAAAAAUCAAUUUAUACUUCCAAAUCCCACAAGGACUGCUUUCAAGGAUAAACUCAAUUCAUGUAUAGAUCAAUUCAUCAAGAAAUGAGACAAAAACAUUUUCCAACCUUUUUAUGAAACUAUAUAUGAAGUCAUAAACCAAUUCUUGAAGAUGUUAUUCUAGAUUCAUUAGGUCGAUUGACUUAAAUUUAGACAAAUGCCAAUAUAAUACAUGAUUUGGUAAGGUUCAUUUGGUCUUUGUUGGAUUGAUAUCCUUGUAUUUGAUGGUGAUAGUUAUUCCAUCUUAGAAAAUAUCUUUCUGGACUGUGGAUGCAUAUGCAAUGCGAGUAUUCCCUACAUUAUUUUUGACUUUAGGCAACGGAAGAAUAGUCAAUGGCUUAAAAACCAUAGCUUAAAAUGGUAAUAGGCUGCGCUUUUUACUCGUUUUCAAGUUUCUAGAAUUAUGUUAGAAUUUUGUUGUGUUUUUACUUUAAGCUACGAUUUUGAAAGUGUGGUAAUAACAAAAUUGUUGCCAAUUGCUUUUAAACUACGUUUCUGAAGUGUGGCUGUAUAGAAACCGUCCCUUAUUCAAUUUAGACUACGGUUUUAGAGUGUGGGCGUAAGAACAUAUCUUGGAAAUCCAUCUUGGAAAAUAUAUUUCUACACUGUGGAUGUAUAUGCAAUGCGAGCAUUCCCUACACUGUUUUUGACUUUAGACAACGGAAGAAUAGUCAACGACUUAAAAACCAUAGCUUAAAGUAGUAAUAGGUUGCGUUUUUUCUUGUUGUCAAGUUUUAUGUUAAAAUUUUGUUUUGUGUUUACUUUAGGCUACAGUUCUAAAAUGUGGUAAUAACAAAAUUGUCGCCUAUUCCUUUUAUACUACGUUUCUGAAGUGUGGCUGUAUAGAAACCAUCCCUUAUUCAAUUUAGACUACGGUUUCAGAGUGUGGGUGUAAGAAAAUAUCUUGGAAAAUAUAUUUUUAGAUUGUGGAUGCAUAUGCAAUACGAGUAUUCUGGCUCGAGGGGAAAAUAACACACUUUCUAUAACACACUACGUUUUCUCACGCACCUAACAGAGGUAAAAGUCAUUUUUCAACCAAGGUAAAAGCCUUUUUUAAUGGUAGUGAUAAGAUGUUUUUAGACUGUUCUAUGUCUUGCAAUAUCCAUAAUGUUCGGGGGUCAGUUAUAAUAAAUUUUGGAAUGUCCAUAAUGGCCAUGGAAUUUGAAAGGAUUUCUAAUCUUAUCAAUGGAUAUAUAGUAACUGGUAGAUUGGUCCCAUAUAUUGUUGACUAUCUCAGUUAUAAACAAGACUUUGAAGAUCUCCAAACAUUAUAAAGAUGUACGAGAUUCGAUCUAGUGGUGUGUUUUCACAUUAAAUCAAUUAAGAAAGGUCAUGAUACAUAUCGGUUGUUAAUAAAUUAAAAAUCAAUUUAUACUUCCAAAUCCCACAAGGACUGCUUUCAAGGAUAAACUCAAUUCAUGUAUAGAUCAAUUCAUCAAGAAAUGAGACAAAAACAUUUUCCAACCUUUUUAUGAAACUAUAUAUGAAGUCAUAAACCAAUUCUUGAAGAUGUUAUUCUAGAUUCAUUAGGUCGAUUGACUUAAAUUUAGACAAAUGCCAAUAUAAUACAUGAUUUGGUAAGGUUCAUUUGGUCUUUGUUGGAUUGAUAUCCUUGUAUUUGAUGGUGAUAGUUAUUCCAUCUUAGAAAAUAUCUUUCUGGACUGUGGAUGCAUAUGCAAUGCGAGUAUUCCCUACAUUAUUUUUGACUUUAGGCAACGGAAGAAUAGUCAAUGGCUUAAAAACCAUAGCUUAAAAUGGUAAUAGGCUGCGCUUUUUACUCGUUUUCAAGUUUCUAGAAUUAUGUUAGAAUUUUGUUGUGUUUUUACUUUAAGCUACGAUUUUGAAAGUGUGGUAAUAACAAAAUUGUUGCCAAUUGCUUUUAAACUACGUUUCUGAAGUGUGGCUGUAUAGAAACCGUCCCUUAUUCAAUUUAGACUACGGUUUUAGAGUGUGGGCGUAAGAACAUAUCUUGGAAAUCCAUCUUGGAAAAUAUAUUUCUACACUGUGGAUGUAUAUGCAAUGCGAGUAUUCCCUACACUGUUUUUGACUUUAGACAACGGAAGAAUAGUCAACGACUUAAAAACCAUAGCUUAAAGUAGUAAUAGGUUGCGUUUUUUCUUGUUGUCAAGUUUUAUGUUAAAAUUUUGUUUUGUGUUUACUUUAGGCUACAGUUCUAAAAUGUGGUAAUAACAAAAUUGUCGCCUAUUCCUUUUAUACUACGUUUCUGAAGUGUGGCUGUAUAGAAACCAUCCCUUAUUCAAUUUAGACUACGGUUUCAGAGUGUGGGUGUAAGAAAAUAUCUUGGAAAAUAUAUUUUUAGAUUGUGGAUGCAUAUGCAAUACGAGUAUUCUGGCUCGAGGGGAAAAUAACACACUUUCUAUAACACACUACGUUUUCUCACGCACCUAACAGAGGUAAAAGUCAUUUUUCAACCAAGGUAAAAGCCUUUUUUAAUGGUAGUGAUAAGAUGUUUUUAGACUGUUCUAUGUCUUGCAAUAUCCAUAAUGUUCGGGGGUCAGUUAUAAUAAAUUUUGGAAUGUCCAUAAUGGCCAUGGAAUUUGAAAGGAUUUCUAAUCUUAUCAAUGGAUAUAUAGUAACUGGUAGAUUGGUCCCAUAUAUUGUUGACUAUCUCAGUUAUAAACAAGACUUUGAAGAUCUCCAAACAUUAUAAAGAUGUACGAGAUUCGAUCUAGUGGUGUGUUUUCACAUUAAAUCAAUUAAGAAAGGUCAUGAUACAUAUCGGUUGUUAAUAAAUUAAAAAUCAAUUUAUACUUCCAAAUCCCACAAGGACUGCUCUCAAGGAUAAACUCAAUUCAUGUAUAGAUCAAUUCAUCAAGAAAUGAGACAAAAACAUUUUCCAACCUUUUUAUGAAACUAUAUAUGAAGUCAUAAACCAAUUCUUGAAGAUGUUAUUCUAGAUUCAUUAGGUCGAUUGACUUAAAUUUAGACAAAUGCCAAUAUAAUACAUGAUUUGGUAAGGUUCAUUUGGUCUUUGUUGGAUUGAUAUCCUUGUAUUUGAUGGUGAUAGUUAUUCCAUCUUAGAAAAUAUCUUUCUGGACUGUGGAUGCAUAUGCAAUGCGAGUAUUCCCUACAUUAUUUUUGACUUUAGGCAACGGAAGAAUAGUCAAUGGCUUAAAAACCAUAGCUUAAAAUGGUAAUAGGCUGCGCUUUUUACUCGUUUUCAAGUUUCUAGAAUUAUGUUAGAAUUUUGUUGUGUUUUUACUUUAAGCUACGAUUUUGAAAGUGUGGUAAUAACAAAAUUGUUGCCAAUUGCUUUUAAACUACGUUUCUGAAGUGUGGCUGUAUAGAAACCGUCCCUUAUUCAAUUUAGACUACGGUUUUAGAGUGUGGGCGUAAGAACAUAUCUUGGAAAUCCAUCUUGGAAAAUAUAUUUCUACACUGUGGAUGUAUAUGCAAUGCGAGCAUUCCCUACACUGUUUUUGACUUUAGACAACGGAAGAAUAGUCAACGACUUAAAAACCAUAGCUUAAAGUAGUAAUAGGUUGCGUUUUUUCUUGUUGUCAAGUUUUAUGUUAAAAUUUUGUUUUGUGUUUACUUUAGGCUACAGUUCUAAAAUGUGGUAAUAACAAAAUUGUCGCCUAUUCCUUUUAUACUACGUUUCUGAAGUGUGGCUGUAUAGAAACCAUCCCUUAUUCAAUUUAGACUACGGUUUCAGAGUGUGGGUGUAAGAAAAUAUCUUGGAAAAUAUAUUUUUAGAUUGUGGAUGCAUAUGCAAUGCGAGUAUUCCUACACUAUCUUUUACUUUAGGUAACGGAAGAAUAGUCAACGACUUAAAAACCGUAGCGUAAAGUGGUAAUAGACUGCGCUUUUUACUCGUUGUCAAGUUUGUAGAAUUAUGUUAGAAUUUUGUUUUGUGUUUACUUUAAGCUAAGUUCUGAAAGUGUGGUAAUAAUAAAAUCGUCGCCUAUUCCUUUUAAAGUAUGUUUCUGCAGUGUAGCUGUAUAGAAAUCAUCCCUUAUUCAACUUAGACUACGAUUUUAAAGUGUGUUUAUGAAAAUAUCCCUUAUUAAAGUACUGAAUCCAUGUUAGUAUAGACAAAAUAUUCAUAUAUACACUCUAGCUACAACUAAGCUAUAUGAUAUCGUGAUAAUUUGUCUUCCUUAAACUAAUUUAUAUAUAAUAUUUAAAAUUAUAUACAUAUAAUAUAAAUAAUUUUAUAAAAACAAAUUUAUUAAUAUACACCACACUAUUUAAAAUACAUGGUCUUGAAGAGAUAGAUUUUGAAUUUGAUAAUUUAUCAUCUUACUCUAAAUAAACAGAAUUAUAAAAAAACAAAAUUUGUUAUAAAUACAUGAUGGCAACUCCAAAAUAAAAAUUAUUUUUUUAUAGCUAUUAUUAAAAUAGUUAAAUAAAUUUAUUGUAAAAUUAAUAAAAUUUGUUAAUCUCUAUAAUAUCUUUUUAUAUGAUAAAAAAAAUUAUACAAAAAGAGAAACCAUAGAUUUUGUGUAAUAGAAUGGGAUAUCAUUUCAAUACCUUGAUAGAAUUGAUGAUUUUGUGCAAUAAAAUAUUUUACACUAUUAAUACAUAAUUAUUAAUGUCAUAUAAAAUUAUUAAUUUUUAUUUUAAUUAACUUUUUGUUUAAAAUAUUUUGUAUAAAUGUUAUUUUGUAAAAAGAAAUUUAAUACUAAUAUUUUUUUUAAUUUAUAAAAAGUAAAUGUUUUUUUUAUUUAUAUUUUGCAUUUUGAGUUUGGUGUUUUUGAGUUUAGGAUUUCAUGUGAUGAUGGUGAUGCAUGUGGUGAUUGAACUGUUUCUUGGAUUGUUGUUUUAGUUAUGUGGUUGCUCUCACUGUUCAACUCACCAUCCUUCAGGGUAUGUUAUUUUCCUUUUCAUUCCAGUAAUCUGACAUAUUGUAAGUUGGAUUUAAGAAUUUGAUACUUUUAUACAUGAAAAAAUUUGUUCUAAGAAUAGGGAAGAAAAUUAUAGUAAUGACAAACAUAAUAAGAGUCCUUAAGAAUGAACAGUAUCUGGAGCACUUGGUUUCUAUUAUAUAUUUAAUUUUCUCUACCCUUUAUAUGUGAAUAGCAUUCUAUAGGGGUUUUGUUGUAAUUGUUUGUUUUUAGGUAGCUCCUAUUUCGAGUGUUUGUUUCAUGUUAGAGGGACAUUAUAUUUUUUCAAAUGGGUCAUGAUAGCUUUAAGAUUUUUAUUGUUAAUUAUGAAACAUGUACAAAUUUUGUUUUAUAUUAUAGAUCACACAGUUAAUAGUGGUGUUUAAAUUGAAAAGGGGAUUAAAACCAUUAUAGUCAUUGAUUUUUUGUGACAUUGAUUGCAUCAUCUCAAUAGAGUAGAGCAUGGAGCUUUGAAUGGAUUGGCAUGAUCAUCAAUAUGGUCUGCUGUUUUUAUUUUUAUCCAAUUAUUUUGACCCUAUUUAUAGCUCUUGCAGCUUUCUUUUAAUUAAAAUUAUUUUGACCACUUUAUUAAUCUGAACUGAUCUAUAGUUGUGUUGUGGAAGUUUUAGAUAUUUAUAAGUAUAUCUUACUUUCCUUGAGAUAAAUGUCUCAUUUUUUUUUGUAACCCCUUUUUUAACUAUAUACUUGUGUUGAUUUUAAAAUGAGGAUUCCAAAGAUAUUGUUCCAAUGUUAGAGAUUUUGAGUACAUAGAAGUGAAUUAUCCAAAAAAGGAGAUAUAGAGUACUUAUCUCAUAUUUAGGAUUAACUUAACUAUAUAUUCUUAGAAUUCUUCUAAUUUGUUUUGAAAUAAAUGGAAUUAACAAUGGAAAAAUUAUUUUUUUAAUUGUUGUAUGAAUGAUGUUACUGACACCUUUGUUGUUUAUGUAGCACAAAUUUUAAAUGUAUAAAGUUUUUUUAUCACCUCAUGUUCUUCUACGCCAUUAUUUGCAUGUUGUCGAAAAACUAUGUCUGUUUUAUAUACUAAUAUAUUAUUAUUUAUUUUAUUUAUAAUAUAUAUCUAUUAUAUAUAUAUAUAGUGGUGUGCAAGAUUUAGCAUUACUUAUGUGUUUUUCAUUUAUAGGCAACGUUUUUUAUUGUAGCUUAUUAAAAACCGUGGAUUUUUCCAAGAUUUAGGCGCGAUUAUAUAUUUAGUUUAAAUGAAAUUAUAGAUUGAGCUACGGUUUAAUUUUGUUGUUAUCAAUAACUGUUUCCUUUUCAUGUAUUUGGGGACGUUGUUUAUGUUAUUACUAGAAAGUUGUGAUCUAAAAUUUAACUAAAUACGAUAAAGCGACGGUGUUCAUAAUCCGUGGGGUAUAAUAAAAAAUCACGCUCUAAAGAAAUAGGCAACGGCGUUUAUUCACGCUGGUAAAUCGUCCUUAAUGACUUAGACCACGGUUUCUACCUUAGGAGACGGUUUUCAGUUGUUGCCUAAACCCAUUUUGUUCUAGUGAUUAACGUGUGAAUGGAUUUUUCAGUGAAUCUUAGCCAUAGUGUCCCCCUAGGAGUACCAACUUCAGUGAUCUUAGCCAUAACUAUCAACUUUGAUUCCGCUGUCUUUAGACGAUUAUGUUGAGGAAUGAACUAUGUUCAGUCAUAUGAGAUCCUUAACUACUCAAGAGAGUAAAUUAUAAUAAAAGUAAAAGUGCGUAAAAUAACAUUGUAGUGUUGAUAGAAAAAAUAGUAUUUCUAGUCCAUAGAUCAUGGCAUAUAGAAAAUAAUUUUCAUGAGUUAUUUACGGAUGAUGUAUGAGAUGUUAUUUUUAUGGGAUAAAUGAUGUCCUAAUUUUGAUUUAAUGUCUUAUAUUUUUCGACUUGUUAAGUUUACUCAUAUCCUCAUGCUGAUUUUUCGAAUCACCUAACUCCAUAAUGUUCAUCUUUUUUCACUUUGUGGCUCUAUGUACAUAAAGUAUGGUCAUAAAAUGCAAUUAUCUAACCCUACUAUGUUUUGACUUUGCUAGAGUAUUGUCAUUAUGAUAAACUUCACAACUUGAAAGUAUUUAAUUGAAUCUGUUUUUAAUGUACUUAUACUCUCCCAACUUGCUAUAUGUCGAAAAAUAUCCAACUAACUUUAAAAUUGUCUUCCUUUUGAUUUGAACUUUAAUAAUUUUUAAGUGUAAAUAUUAUGUAUAUAUAAGGUGGUAUUUGUUCCAUACAAACUAGAAUUGGUGUUGUUGGAAUCUUAAAGCGGUGGUGUUGAUCUUCGAUACGUUGUGUGGAUGGACCUUCAAGGUUAAUACUCCAAUACCCAAUUCAGUUAUAGAGUUCAACAUAAAUGAAGUUAAAAGUGAUGAUCAUAAAGUGAUCUUAAAUCUCUCGUGUGCUGAUUAUAUACAUUGUAUAAUGAUUAUGCUUCUCCUAUAUUGGGCAUUUGGCUGUUCCCAUACGAAGUAUAUAUUUGAUUUCAUAGAUUAAAGUGAAGGAAAGGAAAGCCGUGCAUUUUUCAUCUCAAUUAUUUAAUGUUUUAAAUUUCUUUUACUCAAAAAAGAAAAGUUACUAAAAUUAUUUCAAAUGUUGAUAUUUAAAUCAUCUUGUAAAAACUUAUAUUUUAUAAAAAUUAACUCGAUGAUAAUCCUUUUUUUUUUUUAUUAAAUCAUAAUUAAUUUAUUAGUGGCCUAUUUCACAAUAUUCAUAAUUUUUUCUUCUUAUGAGGAUAUAGUAUAUAGCAGGGUGGUAAUGAGAAGAACAUUAACAUAUGGACUAACAAUUAGUUGGAAUCAAAAUUAAAUAUUUAGUCUUAGUAUUAUAGUGCAUGUUCAAUUUAUUCAAAUUGUUAAGGUCAAUUUAAUUAUCCAACACAUCGAUUGAACAUUCCUCGUGAUUUAUCCAUUUUGCCUCCUCAAAUUGUUAAAGAUAUUUUGAAAAAUUAAUUGUCAUUUGAUAAUACUAUUGGUGAUAAACUGAUUUGGAAAUUAUUACAAAUUGUGAUCUAUAUUAAAGAUUCUACAAUUAGUGUGAUGUCACGUUGAGCCUUUUGGACAAAACUUAUUUGGCAUCCCUAUAUACCACAUGUUAAAUCAUUUGUGACUUAGAAACAGAUGCAUACUAUUAUUGUAAUAGACAACAACUUGAUUCGAAGAAAAUGCGUAUGAUUCGAUAUGCUCUUUAUGUAAUUGUUUAUUAGAAAAAUGCAUAAGAUUGGAGUUUGCACAUCCUUUCAAGCGAAUUGUAUGAAAUAUGUAUGAAUAUCUAACAAGAAAAUUAUGUAAUUGUUUUAUAGAAAAAUGCAUAAGAUUGGAGUUUGCACCUCCUUUCAAGCCGAAUGUAUGAAAUAAUGAUGCUAUCGUAUGCUAAACAAGAAGAAUGUAGAUCUUUAACUUGAAUUGGCUCAAUGCUGACCAAUCAUGCUUUUCUAAUUUGAAUGUAGUCCCUUGGUAACUUUUAAUUAAAUGGAAGAAUAUUUUGCACACUAUAUUCUCCUUAUAGUCAAGUUAUGUCACAUUUUAGAGAGGAAAAUGCUUAUACUGAUAGAUUAGUGUAUGCAUGUUUUUUUUGUUGAUUAUGACACUUUGUGAAAUUCAUUUACUAUUUAUAUUUUUGAAUUUCUUUUACAAAUAGGUUAGGCAUGUCCAACUAUCAUUUUUUCUAUCUUUUUUAUGUUAGGUUUUAUAUCCCCUUCACCUUUUUGUUUAUUAAUUUGCCUUUAUUUAAAAAGAACAUACUAUUUUCUCCAUCCGCUUCUUUGAAAACAUUUUUUCGAUUCUUAAAUCAACUUGUUUUCAACAUAAAAUAAUAUAAUUAUUAAUUAAAAAUAUAUAUUUAAAUUUAGACAAUUUCAUAGUUAGAAAAUAUUUUAAAAGAUGAAGAAAAGACAUUUGAAAGAUCAUUCCAUUAAGAUUGAAUAAAUCGGUAAUUAAUAUACUCGGAAAGAAUUAUUUAGGUUAUAUAAAAUUUAAAUAUAAUUUAAUCAAAAUACAAUGAAACGUUCAAAAAGAUAUGAAUAUAUCAAUCAAUACUAGUUUUUUAGACUUUUGUCAAAUAAUUUAUUGGCUAAAUUAGGCAUGACAAUGGGGCGAUGGUGGUUUUAUCUUCCCUGUAUCCAAACAUACAUUUCAAAUAAUAUAUAAUAAAGUACAAAAUAAAUAUCAACGUAUUAACAAAGUUAAUUAAUAUUCUAAAUUAACAAAGUAAAAUAUUUUAAAUAUCAAUAAGACAUGUUCGGGUAGGUACUAAUGUUAAAGUACCUAGUAUUAGCUACCUUACCCGACAAGUUACCUAGUAUCUCAUCAUAAGGUGGAGGCAUAACAUAGUGAUUCAAAAAAUUUAAUUCAUCGAUGUCAGGAUCAUUACAAAAUCUUUGAAAGAAUGAUGACUUGAUUUAAGUAAAGGAUUAUGGACACGAUUUAUAAGAUAAGUCGUAUGAAGAAUAAAGAUUAGCAUAGAAAACUCAGGACCACUGUUUGUCCCUAAAAAUAUUGACUUUGUAAUUAUAUUGAAUUUCUAUAUGGAGUGUGAACUUUUGGAAAAGACUAGUGACUUCAAAUUUGGAGUUGCAAAGAAUAAUCCAAGUGAAUCUACUGUAAUCAUCAAGUGCAGUCACAAAAUAUUUAUGAGCCUAGGUUAUAGAAUGAGUUAGUAACUAAACCACCACAAAUAUUGAGAAGAUAUAAUCGACUACCCAAAAGCCUAGUUAUUUGUCAAACUUUAUAUGCAGUUUUUCAAAGAAAUCAUCUAACCAAAAUUCUGCAAGUAUACUUGAUUUUAUUCAUAAUUUUCAUUCAUUAAAUAAUCUCUCUACUUCACACCAACAUUUUGCUUUGUCUAUCCCCACUAUUCAGAUAAUUUCCAAGAAACAAGCAAGUAUGAUUCUUGGAUCAAGGCAUUGAACUCUGAGUUGGAUGCUUUGAAGCACAACAAAACUUGAUUAUUUGUUUAUGUUCCACCUAGUAUCAAGCAUAUCGGAAGCAAAUUGGUUUACAAGGUAAAACGCAUAGAAGACGAGACUAUAAAGAGGUAUAAGGCUAGACUAUUAGCCAAAGGUUACAAUCAGGUUAAUGGAUUUAAUUUCAUUGAUGCUUUUUCACAUGUGGCAAAGAUCACAAUUGUGAGGACACUACUUGAAUUGGCAUCCAUAAAUUCCAAGAACUUACAUCAAUUGAAUAUAAACAAUGUAUUUAUACAUGGAGAUUUACAUUAAAAUGUAUACACAUUAGUGCCACAAGGUGUUACUAGUCCAAAGUCAAAUCAAGUAUGCAAAUCGUUGAAGUCACUCUAUAGUUUAAGGCAAACCAAUAGAAAAUGGUAUGAAAUUAACAUCAUUCUUGGUUAAUCAAUGAUAUAAGUAAUCUGGUUUAGAUUAUUCCCUCUUCACACUCAAUAAUGGUUCACAUUUCAGUGCACUACAAUGUGUAUGGAUGAUAUCAUUUUGGCUGAAAAUUCCAUGGAUGAAAUUGAUAGAUUGAAAACCACACUUGAUGUUGAAUUUAAAAUCAAAUAUCUUUGGCAAGUUAAAGUACUUCAUAAGAAUAGAAGUUUCUCAUUCCAAAACUGAAAUUAUUAUUUGUCAAAGAAAGUAUUUCUUGAAUUUGUUGAAAGACACAUGUCUCAUUGAGUUUAAACCUGUCAAAACUCCUAUUGAUCCAUCUUGCAAGUUGCACCAGGACACAACUAAACCUUUUGAAGAUAUUCUCAACUAUAGAAGAUUAGUUGGAAAUCUACUUUAUCACUUAACUAUCAGGCCUGAUAAGUAACUUUCUUCAAUCAAUGAGAUUAGAAUUUGCGUUCCUACAAUAUAAUAUCCUUAUAUAGCUAUCAAUGAGGUAGUUUAUAAUUUAAUUUAUAUACGUUUGUAAUGUAAAUCCAAUUAAAUUGCAUGUUAAUAUUUAUUAUAAUUUUUUAAAAUAUAAAUCAUAAAAUGAUAUUUGUAAAUAACUUAUUUGGAUCCAUUUAUAAAAAAAAUUAUAAUGUAGAUAUAUAAAAAAGUUCUUUUAAAAAAAGAAAAAAAAACUAACAAGUUUUUUUUGUUAUAGAAAGAUGAGGUACUAAACUUUUGAAAUUAAAAUAAAAAGAUGGCACUUAUAAAUUAUAUUUAAUUUAAUUUUUUUAUAAUUACAAUUGAAUUAUUAUAUAAUCUUUAUCUUUAAUUUUGCUAUCAUUAAAUUUGUAUUUUACUUAAAAGCGUUGGACCAGAAAUGUAGCCGAGGUAGUUUUUAUAUACGAGUUGGACAGAAUCAAACAUGAUUAUAGAAAAGUGGAGUUUGUCUAGUUUUAUCUUCCAUAUUAGAUAAUGUGAUUUAGUUAGCAAAAAAAUAGGAGUUAGAAUAGGGUAAAUGAUUUUUAUUCAAACUAGGACUCUCUCUUAUAUAUUUCAACACACUAACACUAUUGUUCACGUAGUUAAAAAUCACAUUCACUCAAAUCAUAUCUUCAUCUUUGCAACAAGAAAAAUGCAAUCAUGGUGAGGAUACUAGAAAUAUUGUGUUAAAAAAAGGAACAUGGUCAAAGGAAGAGGAUCAAUUAUUAAGAGAAUAUGUGACAAAAUAUGGAGUUAGAAAGUGGGAUUCCGUACGAAAGAAAACAAAACUUGUUAGAGAUGGAAAAAGUUGUCGUAUAAGAUGGUUAAAUCAUCUAAAUCCAAUUUUAAAAAAGUGCUCGUUCAAUGAAGAAGAAGGAAGAAAACUUACUCAUCUCUAUAAUGAGUUAGGACCAAAAUGGUCUCAAAUGGUUUCACAGGUUUGUUUAUUCAUGCUUCACUCUUAUAGGAAAAAAAAUUACUUUUAUAAAUAAAAAAUUAAAGUUUAUUAGGCUUUCUAUAAUUGUAACCAUUUAUAAUAGGUAAUGAUUUUUUUGUAUGUUCGCUAAGAUUAGGGUUUUUUUUGGUAAUAAUUUUUUGCAUGAAGUCUACUUAUUAAUUAAUAACCAAUUUUUUUUUUAGAAUAACUGAUAAUUGAUUAUAUAAUUAUUUUGAAUUUGUUUUUGUUGUGACAGUUUCCUGGAAGAACCGAUAAUGAGUUAAAGAAUUUUAUUAAUUCCAAAUAAAGGAGUUUAAAAAACUCUAGAAAGCACCCCAUUUCAAAAAACAUAAACCAUGUUGAUGAGUUGAAUAACAAUGUUGGAGAAAUUAGUAACCAACAAAAUAAUGCCUCCCAAGAAGAAGAAAUGGAAUUUGAUCAUCAAGAAGAUACUCUACAUGGUAACUUUUCUUCUUGAUUCAAAUUUAUGAUGACAAAAAUAUCAACAAACUUUUCAACAAUUUUCAACGUUGGCUGAUGAUUUAAGUACUUGUUUCAACAAUCAUGCUUGCCCAACAUUGGAUGAUAGGUGAGUAGACAAUUUUAAUUUUUGUUCUUUUAAUAAGUUUAUAAUUACAUUAAACAUAUUUCAAGACUAACAUUAGAAUUUAUAUUAUGAAUGCUAACAGGUUUCCUACACUCCCAGAAUGUUCAUACUUUCAAGAUAUGGAAGAUAUAGUUCCAUCAUUUUCAUCAAGUAAUAUGUUUUUUGAUCAAGAAGAUACUCUACAUGGUAAUUAUCUUCUUGAUCAAAUUUAUGAUGACAAAAAUAUCAACAACCUUCAACAAUUUUCUACGUUGGCCGAUGAUUCAAGUACUUGUUUCAACAAUCAUGCUGUCCCAACAUUGGAUGAUAGGUGAGUAGACAAUUUAAUGUUUUUUUUUUCUUUUUAAAGUUUAUAAUUACAUUAACAUAUUUCAAGACUAACAUUAGAAUUUAUAUUAUGAAUGCUAACAGGUUUUCUACACUCCCAGAAUGUUCAUACUUUCAAGAUAUGGAAGAUAUAGUUCCAUCAUUUUCAUCAAGUAAUAUGUUUUUUGAUCAAGAAGAUACUCUACAUGGUAAUUAUCUUCUUGAUCAAAUUUAUGAUGACAAAAAUAUCAACAACUUUCAACAAUUUUCAACGUUGGCUGAUGAUUCAAGUACUUGUUUAAACAAUCAUGCUAUCCCAACAUUGGAUGAUAGGUGAGUAGACAAUUUAAUGUUUUUUUUCUUUUUAAAGUUUAUAAUUACAUUAACAUAUUUCAAGACUAACAUUAGAAUUUAUAUUAUGAAUGCUAACAGGUUUUCUACACUCCCAGAAUGUUCAUACUUUCUAGAUAUGGAAGAUAUAGUUCCAUCAUUUUCAUCAAGUAAUAUAUUUUUUGAUCAAGAUCUUCCUCCAUACAAUCUAGACAUGGAUUAUCAACUUCCACAAGAAAUGUUUUCUGACCAAUAUCUUCAAAAUCCAAAUCUAUUAUCUAAUAUGUUUUUUGAUCAAGAUCUUCCUCCAUACAAUCUAAACAUGGAUUAUCAACUUCCACAAGAAAUGUUUUCUGACCAAUAUCUUCAAAAUCCAAAUCUAUCAUCUAAUAUGUUUUUUGAUCAAGAUCUUCCUCCAAUUCCACAAUACUAUCCAUACAAUAUAGAUAUGGAUUAUCAACUUCCACAAGAAAUGCAUUCUGACCAAUAUCUUCAAAAUCCAAUUCUAUCAUAUGAGGAGCCUCAAUAUGAGAUCUUAGAACCUUGGUUGCUAUCUGAAUGUGUUCCUCUUUGGUGAACUUGAUUGAUGAAAAACAUGAGAUGAUGGUAGAACUUAUUACUCCACAUAGUAGAUAUUAUAUUUGAAUGUAUUUCAUACAAUGUAAAAGAUAUCUUAGACACAUUUAUAUAUGGAAAAAAAAUUCCAUCCUACGGAUUUGUGAAGGAUUUUGUGACAAUAGAAAAUUAGUUUACAAUGAUUAUUAUGUAAUUUUUCCUUCUUUAGUUAAUGUUUUCAUUUUUUAAGAAUUAAUUGGUAUUACGAAACACUUUUGCCGAUUAUAUUUGAUAGAACUAUUCUAUUUUAAUGUUUAAUGUUAGAGUAUCAGUGUUGUGAUAAAUCUCACACAUAUUUAUUACCUAUUUAUUAUAAUAUUAAAAUUUAAUAAAUAACUAUUGUUUUGAUAAUUCAAUCUCUUACUUAUCACAUUAUUAAAAAUAUAAAGUGACAUUUGUUAAAACAUAAUCUAUUAAUACUUUAAUUAUUCAUAUAAGAAAAAUGUGUAACUUUAUUUAUAAAAUUAUAUUAAUUAAAAUACAUAUAUUUUCAUAUUCCAUAAAUCAUCUCUUAAUAUUCUUAAAAUUUAUGUAUAUCUAUUAAUUUAUUUCCUUUGUGUUUCCAUUCCAUACAUAAAAUUACAUGCAUGUACAAAUUGUAUAUUUACAAUACAUCAAAACAUAAAUUAUUAUUAAUUACAUGUACAAAUCUUUUAUCAUCCAUAUAUCAGAACUCAAUUUAUGAAACUUUCACUCUAUUUUCUAUUACACACACUUAUUCACCAUAAAAAAACUUAAUUAACUUUUAAAUAAAUCAAUAGAAAAACUAUUAUAAACAUACAAUUUUCUUUGUUUUUUCUAUACUAAUUAUUAUAUUUUUUUCGUAGACGAUUAUUAUAUUUUUUAAUUAAUUAAUUUUUAAAUAAAUCGAUUGAAAAACUCAAAUUAUUAAUAUUUCUAAAAAAUACGUUAUAUAAUAAUUUAUCCCAUAAAAAAUUGUGCAUAAAAUAUUUUUUAUUGAAAAUAUAAAAUCAUAAUAACAAAGAAAAAACCACAUCACAAUGUUUAAGAUAAAGUACUCAAACAAUACUUUCAAAUAUUAAAUUUUAUUACAAUGCUAAAUAUAAUUAACAAACAACAUUUUCAAAUUUAACUUAUAAUUUUCAAACAGACAAACAAAAGCAUCAAAUUAUUUCUAAAAUAUUAUUUUGAAUUAUAAUUUCAUAUACAUGUUACAAGAUUAAACUAUAAAUUUCUGACUAUCAUUUAUAUUUUCUUACAUAUAAUUGAUAUUUUAAAAUUAAAUUUUUAUGUCUUAUUUGCAUUUCCAUGACUCAAAUAUAUUUCUUAUCACUUAAACUUUUACUUUCUCUUUUUAUUAUCUUAUUCACCUUAUCGUCGCAAUUACAAUUUAAUUUAUAAUUAUAAUAUUAUUUAAAAAACUCAUCUCAUUCCCACGGAUUUACGGGUCUCAAUCUAAUACAAUAAUUAAAACGAUUAAUCGAAUACAUAAAAGAACCACGGCUACAUAAACCAAAUAAGCGUUUUGUUCCUCUUAGUCAUAAUAUACCAUACAAACUCUACAAAUAUGACAACAAUUAAUCCACAAAAUGACUCAAACUUAAUUAUUGGCUCCAUCACUAUAAUACUCUAUAGUGGCGUAUAGUCAUAAUAUACCAUACAAACUCUACAAAUAUGACAACAAUUAAUCCACAAAAUGACUCAAACUUAAUUAUUGGCUCCAUCACUAUAAUACUCUAUAGUGGCGUAUUUAGCAAUUGUUGCUAAGUAUGUAGGGCUAUAUGGUCAUUUUGGCAACUCAUUAUAAGAAUCCCUUUUGGAUGAAGGAAUCCUCACUUUCACCAUUCCUUCGCUCACUAAAUUCAUAAAAUUUGGAGUAGAAGAAGAAAGUCUUGAGUUCAAAGCAUAAUCUCCUUGCAUGUCCUAGUAGAGUAAAGUUUCCUGAAGAGAAGUGUCAAAAGCAAAGCUUAGAUCAUUCAAAUGUGGGGUUCUAACUGUGGGUUUGAUUGGGUUUAGUACCAUUAGGAAAGCAUGAUGAGGGUUUUGGGGUUGCUUCAUUGAUGAAACCAUGUUUGAUAAUCUUCAUGAUUUUGUGUGAAUGCUUUUUAGGAAUAAGAGAAAGAUAUCUUAGUUAAAUCAAGUAAGAAAUAUCAGUGGGAAAAUCCUAUUGAUUUAUGAGUAUGUGCUUGCCUAAUGGAAAUUAAUUGGUAAGUGAGAACAGAAUAGGAUCAAAUUAGAAGUCUCGGUAAAUGUUGAUGUGAUGAUUCUAGGAAAAAGGGAAUCUAAUAGGUGAAAUUUAUGGUUCCUAGGGCUUGCCUAAUUUACAUUUGAAAAUUAGGAGAGUAAGACCUCGACAGAAGGUGUAAUAGGUGAAAUUUAUGGUUCCUAGGGCUUGCCUAAUUUACAUUUGAAAAUUAGGAGAGUAAGACCUCGACAGAAGGUGUUGGAACAAAAUUGGUUUAUAUUAUAUCUUUAAUGUUUUGAUGAUAACAAGAUAUUUAAAGAAUAAUUGGAUAUAUUAAUUUAUGUUCAAGUGUGCAGGAUCAUAGACUGAAAUUUGUGAUCUAAAUUAAGUUCUGAUACUGAAUAUGAACAUUUAUAGAGAAGCUAAAACGACGUGCAUGUUCCAAGGAGGUGAACGUGGUGGUUCCACUGUCGUUAUGGGUUCAACGACGUGCAUGUUCCAAGGAGGUGACCGUGGUGGUUCAAUCGAAGACCAAAAUCCCACCUUCUUAUGUUUUUUAUGUGAGUUGGUUUUUUUUAUUCUUUCUUUUUCAACCCCCUUCCAAAAAUCUAUUUUUAUGCCUCUAUUUAUAUUGAAGAAUUAGGGUUAAGACGAGGGAAAGUGAUAAAUGUGUAAGGAUUGUGAUGGGACCAAAAUACAGUGUUGCAACAAAUCUGUGAAUUAUUAAAGCUUUAAAUGGUUACAAGUCAAAAUAAAAUGUAAAGGAUACUGGAAAAUAUUCUUCAAUGAGAAAGAGUUGUUGUGAUGAACUUUUAGUGGAUAAUGAUUUAGUGACUUUAACUUGGGAAAGUUACCAUCAUACCUUUGAGAAAAUUCUGUAUGGGAAACUAUUUAAUAGAUUGUUUUAGAACACUAAAAACACUAUUAUUAAUUACGGGAUUUUCACAUCACAAAAGUGGAAAUUCCGUUACAAUAAUUGAUUAAUGACGUGGAAAAUCACGCGGCAAAAAUAAUUGUUACAAUAAUACUUUGCCACAUGAUUUCUAUUUUGGACAUUAAUUUUUUAUCAUUACUUGUAUCUCACUAUAAAUAUUUAGAUCAAUUUAAAUGAAUCAUUUCAAAAUAUAAUGCUUUUCUCGGAGUUGCUCAGAGAACUUAGUCAUUACUUAUGUUAAGUUUGAUUUAUCAUAGACGAUGGAAAUUGAUGCUUACAAUGAUGCAGUGCUGGUGUUUUUUUUAGCUUACAAUUAUUUUAUGUAUCUGGAUUGGUUAUUUUUUUAAAAGGAUAAUGAAAAAGGAAAAACAGAUUGACAUUGGAAAAAUCUGUUGGAAAAAUCAUAAAAGCAUUAUAAUAGAUGAGGAGGAAAAGACAAAUAAAAAUUAACAUAAAAAAAAGAAGCAAAUUCCUUAAAUUUAUUUUUGUUCAUCACCACCAACAAAAAGUUAUCACCCAGAAAUAUGUUUUUCACUUAACACCAUAAAACAUCGUUAAUCCAGAAAAUACAUUCCUUCUCUAUUCUUACUAAGUCACCAUUACUAAAACAACACAAUUCACAGGAAACUACAAAAGUUCCAUAUAUGUCUUUCUUUUAGUGAAAUAAAUCUAUGUUUUGGAGUUCAUAUCUCUUUUUUUAGAGAUCUGGAUUUCUGAUAAUUUUUUAGAGAAAUGUUAAAUCUGAAGAUUAUCGUUGGCUCAGGAGUGGAUUCAUGUAUCGAAGGUUCAGAUCUAGUGGCGAUUGCGGGAGAAGCCUCAAUAAGAUGAAGAGUAUUUUAGAAGCUGAAGAAGACGAAGAAUUGGAUGAAGAAGAUGGAGAGUUUGAAAAAUGAGAAUGACAAUUUCAAAAGUUGGCCUUCCAUCAAAAUGGACUACAAGUUCUUGUUGUUGCUGAGAAUGAAAUUUUGAAGGUGAGGAGUUUUGUUAUUGUUGUUGGUGAUGGGGAUGAUUGGUGUUGCCUAUCUUCUAUUUGUUGUUUGCAUAUCUGUAGUUUCAUUUAAGAUUCUUGUGUUUUGCGUUGUUUGAGUUUUAUGAUUUUUUUUUACAAAGUCUUUUUUACAAAGUUUUUUUUUCUUCUGAGUUUAAAGAAUGUGAUUUGUGUGUUUUUUUCUUGCAGAAAAUGUGUAUAUGGAUAUGUAAAUAACAAGUUGUAUAUAUAUGCAAAAAAGGUGUUUUUUUUCUGAGUUUUUUUACUGAAAAAUGUUGUUGUGAAUAAAAAAAUUUAACCUAAUGAUUCAUAUCAAUAUUCUUUGCAUUAGAAGAAAAACGAUGAGAUUGAGAAAGAAAGAAUACACACCAACACAACUUGAAUCAAACACACACCAACACUUCCUAGAAUAGUGUUUUUUUUUUUGAAAUUUGGCUUCUUUUUUUACUAAAAUAAAAUAAAAAUGAAAAAAAUUCUACUGAUGUUUUAAAAUAUAUAUUUAAUUGCUUGAACAAAAUAAGAAUACUACAACUACUAUCUCAAACGAGUUUUAUAUUAGAGUUUCUUUCACACACACCACUCUCUCACUUUCUUCCAUUUUAUCAACAAUUUCUCGGUUCACCUCACAAACCCUACCCAAGUCGUCGCUUGGACAAAAUUAGGGUACUAUAACUACUAUCCUAGAACACGUUUUGUAUUAUUGUUUCUUUCACACACACUCACUAGAUACACCACUCACUCACUUUCUUCCAUCUUAUCAAACAUUCUCUCAAUAACGGUUCACCUCACAAACUCUACCCACGCUACUAGAAAAAUCACACUUAACCUCGGACGUGAAAUGAAUUUAACCUCGGCUACAAAGGCGAGGUAACGAUAGGCGUCACGUAAAGUGAAAACCCUACUCUCGGUUUUAAGAAAACAUACGAGUAUAUGAAAAGGUCAUGAAUUUGAUCCCCAUGAAGACCUUUUUAGAAUUCUGAAAUGGCGAAAACACAUGUUCCCUCGGUUUUGUAAUUUCACUAACGAAUAUACCAUAUUUUCACCUCGAUUAUCUCAUAAAAUCGAGGGGUAAGACAAUUUUGAGUUUAUUAAAUCUGAUAUGGAUUACUCAUUUCACUAAACCCUAUACUGAAUAUAUAACUUCUAAAAUUUGGUUAGGAAAAUUAUUUUAUAAAUGAUUGUGUUAUAUUUUAAGAACAACUUACAUUGAUUAUGAUUUUGAAGCAUCCUGCAAUUCAUCAUUCUUUUCACGUUGUUUUGUGGUUAAAAUAUCUCCAAUGUUUCAAGUUCUUUAUUCAACACUUCCUUUUCUACUAAUUCAUUCUUAAAAGCAUAAAAUUUAAUGCUUUGAAAAAUGAACAAAUAUGAAAAAAAGUUGAACGAAAACUAGAAGUGUUGGAGAGAUUUUAACAAUAAAACAAUGUGAGAUGAAUGAUGAGUUGCAGAAUGCUAGAAAAUCAUUAUUCAGUGUAAGAUAAGUUUCAGAUACAACAUAGUUUUUCAUAUGAUUAUUUCCAAAAUCAAUUUACUAGGUUUUAUGUUCAAAGGUUAGUGUAACAAACAAUCGAUAUGAGAUAUAAAAAACUCAACUAGACGGAACAAAAGGAAAGUUGCACAAAGAAUCAUAAAACACAUAAUCUCAAUAUCAAUAUCAACAAUAAAAAUAACAAUAAAACAACAACAACAUCAAACACAAUAUCAAGAACAACAACGUCAAUAAACAACAACAUUAUCAAUAACAACAACGUCAAUAAACAAGGACAACAACUUCAAAGAAAACAACAUCAAUAACAACCAUAAAAACUCUAGGGUUUCAGAUCAAAACUGGCGAUCUGGUGGAAGACAUUGCUUACCAAGUUGAUGAAAUUUCUCAAAUUAAUGAUGUGAUUGAAGUUGAAUAAAUUAAAAUUUUGUGUGAUACAAUGGUUGAGGGUCAUCAAGUUGAUGCAUUUAUAUUGUUGGAAGAAAAUAAUGUGGACGAAGAGAAUGAAGAGUUUGGAUCUGAGGAUAAUAUCGGAUCAGAUGAUGAAAAUGAUAUGGAUGAAGAGCAUGAAGAAUUUGAAUAUAUUAUUUUUGUAAUUUUACUUAAUGAUUGAUAGAAAAUAAUGUGUUGAUUUAAAUGUGUUUCAUUGAUUUAUUAAUUAUGUUAAUGAAUUAGUUGUAUACGUUGUGUUAAUUUAGUAUACGUGUAUUCUCUCAAAAUAGACAAAAUGCCACCCCAGACUAAUAAGGGUAAGAGUAAGAAGACCCAACAUCAACGCCCGAGGGUAAUGGCAUGUGAGGCACCUCCGUUGGCCAUGUGUCCUCCCCACAAAGUUAGGUAGAUCUCAUGUUUAUAUCUAGUUCUCAACCUCUUAUGUCACUACUCUUCCCUCAUGAUUAUCCUAUGUUACCAUUUGGAAAUCCAACUUUCAUUAGCCCAUCUGGGGGAUCUACCUUUCCGUUCCAGCAGACUGGUGGAUCUAGCUUUCCAUACCAGCAGACUGGGUGUCUAGCUUUCCAUAUCAGCAGACUAGGGUGUCUAGCUUUCCAUACCAGUAGAUUGAGGUGUUAGCUUUCCAGAACUCGCAUAGGUGCCCUCAUCCUUCAUGAAUUCGUUCCCUCAUCAUCUAUCACACAUACCCUCACCAUCCAUACAGUCUUGGGGGAUCCCGCACCCCGCAUCCCUCACACAUACUCUCACCAUCCAUGAAGCCUGGGGGAUCCCACAUCCUACACACAUACCUUCAUCAUACAUAAAUCCUUGGGGACCUCGCACCUCACUUACCAAACACAUACCCUUACCAUCCAUGUAUCCUUGGGGGCCUCACACCUCUUCUAUCACACACAUACCUUUACCAUCCAUGCAUAUUGGGAGACCUCGCACCUCACCUACCACACACAUACCUACGCGUGAGGAGGAUCAUUAGGGGAAGUAUAAGGAUGAUAAUAAGGACGAUCUUAAGGGGGGGGGGAUGAGGACGAUCAUGGGGGGCGGGAUCUCACUUCACAUUCGAAUUAGUUUGAGAUGAUUGAUGGAAGAUACUAUAUUUGACCUAGUAGAAAAUUGUAAGUUUCUAAUUUAUGAAUUUUUAAUUUAAGUAAACAUGUUGCCUUUUUUUAGAUUUAAUAAUACUUAUUCAAAUUAUUAUUGUUUAUUUUCAAGCCGAGUCGGUUUGCUGCCAAAUGUAUAAGUUAUGUUAUUCAAUAAAUGUAUAGAAAAUCUUUGAAGAGAUUUCGAGAACUUUCCAAGAGUGAUAAAGAUGCUUAGCUUAGCAAAUUUAAGGUAUAACGAAUUUAUUUUAAGUUAUUGUUAUUUUAAUUACUUUUUUUAAUUAUAAUCAUCUAACGAUUAAUUUUAAUGUCAUACAACAUUACAGGAAGAGUGUACGUUAGGAGUAAUUAGCGAGGCUAGGAUUGAAAAACAUUGGCGGGGCAGAACAUCAAUCUGAUUUUCUGACAUGCUAUGGUGUGCUAGACGUGGUUGGGAAGAGGAAAGUGUUCAUUCUAACAUUAUAGGAAAGGAAGUUUUUGAUGAACUUCUUGUCUAUUGGGAUUCACCCGAUUUUAAGGAAAGAUUUGAAAUUGCAAAAAAAAUGAGAGCAUCUGAAAAGGGGGGUCACCUUAAUGCAGUUGGAAGCAUUAGUAUCGUCGAACAUGCUCGGCGCAUGGUAAUUAUAACUACUUUUUAAAGUUAUAUUUUUAUUUCCUAUAUACUUUUAAUUAAAGUUAAUUUUAUUAGUUAAUCUAAGGAUUUGGGGAGACCCACAUGAAUGAAUGAGAUAGUUGCAAAGACUUAUACCAAAAAAUUGGGAGAUUUUGUUGAUGAACAUACCAGAUUAGCUUUUAUAAAUUGUUUAUAUUGUAUUAUUUUAUUUAAAUUAAUUCCCAUAUAUGAAUAAAUUGUUUAAAUUAUAUUAAUAUUUAAUGGCAAAGUUGUGGCAUAAUUUUUAUGUGGCAACUAAUUUAAUGUUGUUUGUGACGUGAAAAUUACGUGGCUAUAUUUCAUUAUUUUAUUUAAUUUAAUUCUUGUAUAUAACUAAAUUUUUUAAACUAUAUUUAAUUAAAAAAAUAUGCGUAAAAGGAAUAUCAGACAUUCCUCGCAAAAAUUUUAGUUCAAAAUCUGCAGUAUACUCUGAUAGGUUAAAACCCGAUUGAUGAUCGUGUGGAUCUUUAUAUUUGGAAUUUAGUAAUUGGCGGGAGAUGAUCUAACGGAUAUUUAUUUGGUGCUGGAUCUUUGGCAGGGAACUAGAGAAUAGGGAAUAGAACAUUAUUUGAAUGAGUUGGGGAUGAGAAAUGAACAUGACGCACACAAUAAUUGACAUCCAAAAUGAUAAUAAUAACAAUAAUAACAACAACAACAUUAAAUCUUUUUUUUAAAUUAAAAAUCCAUACUUAAAACAAAUAGAUGUUGUUUUUUUGGUUUUUUUUUAAAUUCAAAAGAAAAAAAAAUAAUGAUGAUAAAUGUAAUUAAAUAAAAUGUAAUGUCACUUUUUUCUUAGAAAUUUUGCUUAAAUAAUUGUCAAAAGGAAUAACACUCUUAAUUUAUUUAUUUUUGAGAUUUUUUUUACCAAAAUACAAUAAAAAUGAAAAAAAUUAUACUGAUGUUUUAAAAAAUAUAUAUAAUUGCUCGGACAAAACUAGGGUACUACAACUACUAUCCCAAAAUGCAUUUUGUAUUAGAGUUUUUUUCAAACACCACUAUCUCACUUUCUUCCGUUCUAUAAACCAUUUAUCUCUUAAUGACGAUUCACCUCACAAACCUACCCAAGUUGUCGCUCAUAAGAAAUUAGGAUACUACAACUACUAUCCUAAAACACAUUUUGUAUUAGAGUUUCUUUCAUACACACUCACUAGACACACCACUCCCUCACUUUAUUUUGUUAUAUCAAUCAUUUCUCUCUCAAUGACGAUUUACCUAAGAAACCCUACCCAAAUCCUCUCACUCUUUCACUUUUAACCACCUCCAUUAAUCCACACAUACCAUUGUUCAUGGUCACCGCCACCCAUUACCAU
rnacentral:lncRNA from 1 species